rnacentral:rRNA from 2 species
AACGACAUCGAAAGCUUGCUUUUGAUGGGCGUCGACCGGCGCACGGGUGAGUAACGCGUAUCCAACCUGCCCACCACUUGGGGAUAACCUUGCGAAAGUAAGACUAAUACCCAAUGAUAUCUCUAGAAGGCAUCAGAAAGAGAUUAAAGAUUUAUCGGUGAUGGAUGGGGAUGCGUCUGAUUAGCUUGUUGGCGGGGUAACGGCCCACCAAGGCGACGAUCAGUAGGGGUUCUGAGAGGAAGGUCCCCCACAUUGGAACUGAGACACGGUCCAAACUCCUACGGGAGGCAGCAGUGAGGAAUAUUGGUCAAUGGGCGAGAGCCUGAACCAGCCAAGUAGCGUGCAGGAUGACGGCCCUAUGGGUUGUAAACUGCUUUUAUAAGGGAAUAAAGUGAGUCUCGUGAGACUUUUUGCAUGUACCUUAUGAAUAAGGACCGGCUAAUUCCGUGCCAGCAGCCGCGGUAAUACGGAAGGUCCGGGCGUUAUCCGGAUUUAUUGGGUUUAAAGGGAGCGUAGGCCGGAGAUUAAGCGUGUUGUGAAAUGUAGAGGCUCAACCUCUGCACUGCAGCGCGAACUGGUCUUCUUGAGUACGCACAACGUGGGCGGAAUUCGUGGUGUAGCGGUGAAAUGCUUAGAUAUCACGAAGAACUCCGAUUGCGAAGGCAGCUCACGGGAGCGCAACUGACGCUGAAGCUCGAAAGUGCGGGUAUCGAACAGGAUUAGA